UUUAAAGCUAUACAAGAGGUAUAACAUGGAAUCAAUGAGGAUUCCUGCACAUUGCUUUGCAUUUGGUAAAAUAAGCCUCAAACAUAACCCAACACAGUAAAAGAAAAAUAAGCUGACUCAAACCAUUUUAAGCUUGUAAGAGUUGGAUCGGAUGAGGUCUCAUUAAGAGAGUGUGAUAAAAAGCAUAUAUAGUAACCCCUGAUGGAACUCUGAGGCUCCAGCAAAGAUGACAUUUAACAAAGGAAGCAAGCAUGCAAACCCAGGCGGUUCUGCUCAGAUUAAAAUAAAUGAUUUGCUCCAGGGAUAAAAAGUACAUAAAACUGGAUUAAGCCACUGACCUUCAUCCACCUUUGGAGAAGGCAGUUCUGGCAGUUCUUUAUUCUACUUUGCAGGCCAAACAUCAUGUGUCAUCACACACACUUGUUCCAGUUUAGCUCUGUGUGCGUGUUGCUUAGGUCAAAUAAGUGCUAUGGACCCUGCUGCUGCUGCUGCUGAAGUCAAGGGCAAAAAUGACAUUGAACUAAACGUUCUGAGCAAAUGGAAUCUGAUGCUAGAUUGUGCAGAAUAUGCAACAGCAUGGACUACAGGGAUGGACAUUGCUGUAGAGCAUUUUAUCCCUUCAGACCAUCAGCGAAGAGAAUUUUUAUGGGUCAAAUCCACCCAAAGGCUCUUAUCUUAUGGAUGCGCUGAUUCAGUGCACCUGAUCACUACAUACAAAUCUGAUCCUAGCACUGACCAGUUAAGUCUACAUGGCAGACAGAGGGAACUGUAGGGUUACAAGGCAGGUACCAUAAUCAAUAGAGGGUAAUACUGCAGAAAACCUCCUGCCCACAUUACUUUCUUUCUUAGGAGCAAAUGUUGAUUCAGAGAGAGUCAGUGUGUUUGCAAAAAAAUGGCAACAUCUCUCCUCAAGCUUUCCAU